rnacentral:rRNA from 1 species
AGCGAACGCUGGCGGCAGGCUUAACACAUGCAAGUCGAACGGGUAUCUUCGGAUACUAGUGGCAGACGGGUGAGUAACACGUGGGAACGUACCUUUCGGUUCGGAAUAAUACAGGGAAACUUGUACUAAUACCGGAUAAGCCCUUCGGGGAAAGAUUUAUCGCCGAUAGAUCGGCCCGCGUCUGAUUAGCUAGUUGGUGAGGUAAUGGCUCACCAAGGCGACGAUCAGUAGCUGGUCUGAGAGGAUGAUCAGCCACACUGGGACUGAGACACGGCCCAGACUCCUACGGGAGGCAGCAGUGGGGAAUAUUGGACAAUGGGCGAAAGCCUGAUCCAGCCAUGCCGCGUGUGUGAUGAAGGCCUUAGGGUUGUAAAGCACUUUUGUCCGGGAAGAUAAUGACUGUACCGGAAGAAUAAGCCCCGGUAACUUCGUG